AGAGUAUGGGAGAGGUAGAUGGAAUUUCUGGUGUAGGGGUAAAAUCCGUAGAGAUCAGAAGGAAUACCGAUUGCGAAGGCGAUCUACUGGAACAUUACUGACGCUGAGAUGCGAAAGCGUGGGGAGCAAACAGGAUUAGAUACCCUAGUAGUCCACGCCCUAAACGAUGCACACUAGUUGUUGCUAUGCUAGACAUAGCAGUAAUGCAGUUAACACAGUAAGUGUGCCGCCUGGGGAGUACGGUCGCAAGAUUAAAACUCAAAGGAAUAGACGGGGACCCGCACAAGCGGUGGAGCAUGUGGUUUAAUUCGACGAUACGCGAAGAACCUUACCUGGCCUUGACAUAGUAAGAAUCUAAUAGAGAUAUAAGAGUGCUAGUUUACUAGAGCUUACAUACAGGUGCUGCACGGCUGUCGUCAGCUCGUGUCGUGAGAUGUUGGGUUAAGUCCCGCAACGAGCGCAACCCUCGUGUUUAGUUACUAACAGUUCGGCUGAGGACUCUAGACAGACUGCCUGGGUAACCAGGAGGAAGGUGAGGACGACGUCAAGUCAUCAUGGCCCUUACGGCCAGGGCUACACACGUGCUACAAUGGGGUAUACAAGGAGCCGCGAUACCGUGAGGUGGAGCAAAUCUCAUAAAAUAUCUCCCAGUUCGGAUUGAAGUCUGCAACUCGACUUCAUGAAGUUGGAAUCGCUAGUAAUCGUAGAUCAGCAAUGCUACGGUGAAUACGUUCCCGGGUCUUGUACUCACCGCCCGUCACACCAUGGGAGUUGAUUUCAUUCGAAGCGGGGAUGCUAAAAUAGCUACCUUCCACAGUGGAAUUAGCGACUAGGGUGAAGUCGUAACAAGGUAACC
rnacentral:rRNA from 1 species